rnacentral:rRNA from 1 species
AAUUCGAUGCAACGCGAAGAACCUUACCUGGCUUGACAUCCCGGGAAUCCCUUGGAAACAAGGGAGUGCCCUUCGGGGAACCUGGAGACAGGUGCUGCAUGGCUGUCGUCAGCUCGUGUCGUGAGAUGUAGGGUUAAGUCCCGCAACGAGCGCAACCCUUGUCAUUAAUUGCCAUCAUUCAGUUGGGCACUUUAAUGAGACUGCCGGUGACAAACCGGAGGAAGGUGGGGAUGACGUCAAGUCCUCAUGGCCCUUAUGGGUAGGGCUUCACACGUAAUACAAUGGUCGGUACAAAGGGUUGCCAAGCCGCGAGGUGGAGCUAAUCCCAUAAACCGAUCGUAGUCCGGAUCGCAGUCUGCAACUCGACUGCGUGAAGUCGGAAUCGCUAGUAAUCGUGAAUCAGAAUGUCACGGUGAAUACGUUCCCGGGCCUU